ACGCUGGCGGCGUGCCUAAUACAUGCAAGUCGAACGCUUUUUUCAAUCAUCGUAGCUUGCUACACCGAUUGAAAAUUGAGUGGCGAACGGGUGAGUAACACGUGGGUAACCUGCCCAAAAGAGGGGGAUAACACUUGGAAACAGGUGCUAAUACCGCAUAACCAUAAUGACCGCAUGGUCAUUAUGUAAAAGAUGGUUUCGGCUAUCACUUUUGGAUGGACCCGCGGCGUAUUAACUUGUUGGUGGGGUAAUGGCCUACCAAGGUAAUGAUACGUAGCCGAACUGAGAGGUUGAUCGGCCACAUUGGGACUGAGACACGGCCCAAACUCCUACGGGAGGCAGCAGUAGGGAAUCUUCCACAAUGGGCGCAAGCCUGAUGGAGCAACGCCGCGUGAGUGAGGAAGGUCUUCGGAUCGUAAAACUCUGUUGUUAGAGAAGAACGUGCAGGAGAGUAACUGUUCUUGUAUUGACGGUAUCUAACCAGAAAGCCACGGCUAACUACGUGCCAGCAGCCGCGGUAAUACGUAGGUGGCAAGCGUUGUCCGGAUUUAUUGGGCGUAAAGGGAACGCAGGCGGUCCUUUAAGUCUGAUGUGAAAGCCUUCGGCUUAACCGAAGAAUUGCAUUGGAAACUGGAGGACUUGAGUGCAGAAGAGGAGAGUGGAACUCCAUGUGUAGCGGUGAAAUGCGUAGAUAUAUGGAAGAACACCAGUGGCGAAAGCGGCUCUCUGGUCUGUAACUGACGCUGAGGUUCGAAAGUGUGGGUAGCAAACAGGAUUAGAUACCCUGGUAGUCCACACCGUAAACGAUGAAUGCUAAGUGUUGGAGGGUUUCCGCCCUUCAGUGCUGCAGCUAACGCAAUAAGCAUUCCGCCUGGGGAGUACGACCGCAAGGUUGAAACUCAAAGGAAUUGACGGGG
rnacentral:rRNA from 1 species